CCGUCGCUGCUCCCGCAAGGGAGGAGAGGAAAGUCCGGGCAACACAGAGCACCGUGCUUCUUAACAGGAAGGGGCUCGCAAGGGUCACGGCAAGUGCCACAGAAAAGAUACCGCCUGCUUCGGCAGGUAAGGGUGAAAACGCGAGGUAAGAGCUCACGACGCCGUCAGUGAUGCCGGCGAUGGUAAACCCCACGGGUUGAAAAACCAAAUAAACCGGGGCUUGAGGGUUGCUCGCCCAACUCGGAGGGUAGGUCGAUUGAGACGGCCGGCGACGGUCGUCCUAGAUAAAUGACGGAACUGGCGCAAACCAGACAGAACCCGGCUUACAGACUGC
rnacentral:RNase_P_RNA from 1 species